rnacentral:rRNA from 1 species
UGUAGCGGUGAAAUGCAUAGAUAUUACUUAGAACACCAAUUGCGAAGGCAGGUCACUAAGAUUUAACUGACGCUGAUGGACGAAAGCGUGGGUAGCGAACAGGAUUAGAUACCCUGGUAGUCCACGCCGUAAACGAUGCUAACUCGUUUUUGGAUUUUCGGAUUCAGAGACCAAGCGAAAGUGAUAAGUUAGCCACCUGGGGAGUACGUCCGCAAGGAUGAAACUCAAAGGAAUUGACGGGGGCCCGCACAAGCGGUGGAUUAUGUGGUUUAAUUCGAUGAUACGCGAGGAACCUUACCAAGACUUAAAUGGGAAUUGACAGGUUUAGAAAUAGACCCUUCUUCGGACAAUUUUCAAGGUGCUGCAUGGUUGUCGUCAGCUCGUGCCGUGAGGUGUUAGGUUAAGUCCUGCAACGAGCGCAACCCCUGUCACUAGUUGCCAUCAUUUAGUUGGGGACUCUAGUGAGACUGCCUACGCAAGUAGAGAGGAAGGUGGGGAUGACGUCAAAUCAUCACGGCCCUUACGUCUUGGGCCACACACGUAAUACAAUGGCCGGUACAGAGGGCAGCUACCAGGUGACUGGAUGCAAAUCUCGAAAGCCGGUCUCAGUUCGGAUUGGAGUCUGCAACUCGACUCUAUGAAGCUGGAAUCGCUAGUAAUCGCGCAUCAGCC